rnacentral:misc_RNA from 1 species
AACGCAUCUUGCGCUCCUUGGUAUUCCGAGGAGCAUGCCUGUUUGAGUGUCAUGAAACCAUCAAACUACAAAUGUUUAUUAUAAAUGUUUGUAGGCUUGGAUAUUGGGUGCUUUGCUGGGGGACUCAGCUCACCCGAAAUAUAUUAGCUGGUCUAGAUAUUAUGGACUAUCCACUUGGCGUGAUAAGUAUCACCCGCUGAGGACUUAUCCAUUGAUUGUUGACUGCUUCUAAUGUGAUUAUGUUGAAUCAUCUGACCUCAAAUCAGGUAGGACUACCCGCUGAACUUAA